AAGUCGUAACAAGGUUUCCGUAGGUGAACCUGCGGAAGGAUCAUUACAGAGUUCAUGCCCUCACGGGUAGACCUCCCACCCUUGUGUAUUUAUACUAUGUUGCUUUGGCAGGCUGCUGCACCCCUCGGGGACAGCCCCAGCGCCCUCGGGCCUGGGAGUCGCCUGCCGGAGGAAAAACAAACUCUGAAUUGUUAGUGUCGUCUGAGUACUAUAUUUUAAUAGUUAAAACUUUCAACAACGGAUCUCUUGGUUCUG
rnacentral:misc_RNA from 1 species